UACGUAGGUGACAAGCGUUGUCCGGAUUUACUGGGCGUAAAGAGCGCGCAGGCGGUCGUUCAAGUCGAGUGUGAAAGCCCCCGGCUCAACUGGGGAGGGUCAUUCGAUACUGAUCGACUCGAAGGCAGGAGAGGGUAGUGGAAUUCCCGGUGUAGUGGUGAAAUGCGUAGAUAUCGGGAGGAACACCAAUGGCGAAGGCAGCUCGCUGGGACGUGACUGACGCUGAGACGCGAAAGCGUGGGGAGCAAACAGG
rnacentral:rRNA from 1 species